CCUACGGGUGGCAGCAGUGGGGAAUAUUGGGCAAUGGGCGCAAGCCUGACCCAGCAACGCCGCGUGAAGGAAGAAGGCUUUCGGGUUGUAAACUUCUUUUGUCAGGGAAGAGUAGAAGACGGUACCUGACGAAUAAGCCACGGCUAACUACGUGCCAGCAGCCGCGGUAAUACGUAGGUGGCAAGCGUUGUCCGGAUUUACUGGGUGUAAAGGGCGUGUAGCCGGGUUGACAAGUCAGAUGUGAAAACCUGCGGCUUAACCGCAGAACUGCAUUUGAAACUGUUGAUCUUGAGUACUGGAGAGGCAGACGGAAUUCCUAGUGUAGCGGUGAAAUGCGUAGAUAUUAGGAGGAACACCAGGGGCGAAGGCGGUCUGCUGGACAGCAACUGACGGUGAGGCGCGAAAGCGUGGGGAGCAAACAGGAUUAGAUACCCCGGUAGUC
rnacentral:rRNA from 1 species